ensembl:lncRNA
CACUGACCUAUUGGGACAGCCAUCUGUUUUAGAUUGCUGGAAGAAAUUCUGAUUUCUGCAACAAAGGGGCUGAGGAAUUUGAACCUUGCACCCACACCCCAGGAAUUGUUUGAUGAGAUGGUGGGAAAGAGCAGAAAGAGGCUGCGUCAGCGGGCAUGAGAAUCCAACUAGCCACACACAAGGUUCUUGAAAUCAUAAGGCCAGGCACUAGAGAAAUGGAAGAAGCGUUUUUCCAGCUUUACCAAGAAUUCACACAACUGCAGGAUUUAUGUGCAAAGCAGGCUCAGCUGCUACAGAAGUUAAUUGUGAAGAAGGAACCAAUGACUGACAUGCCAAUUUCGAUGCCAAUCCAGUGCACAGACGACGGGGGAUUAGCGCAAUCAGAGCGAAUCAUCUUCAAACAGCAAUUACCAAAGGUUCCCAGCUCUAUCCUUUCCAACCCAACAGUUCCUACAUGGCCCAACUCCGCAGUUCUUCGGGACCAGCCACAAGAUGCACACAUGGUUUCUAGUUUUGAUAUUAAGUACCCCCCGAGUGCAGCAAACGCCAGCUUGUUAAGCAGUGCCAAGGGGAAGGCAGAUUUCGCAAUAGCACUUUCCAGCCAGAACCACCACAAACCACACAUGGGCAAGAAGGCGGCUUGUGACACGCUGUUGAAAAAUUAUAUGACGUUUCCUGCCUUGAAAGCGGACAAAGAGAAAUCCACAGCCCCUCCCAUACUUCCAGAGCUUGCUGCCCUAAAUCCGGAGGACGUAGGCUCCUUUCCCAGUUUCUUGGAUCUUUAUGAAGCACCACAAGAUUUACAGACAGGAAGUACUUCCCUUCAAGCAGCAGAAAUUAACGUUCCUAUAGAAAUACGAGGACCCACACAGACUUCCUGGACUCCAGGAUGGGUGGUAGAAGACAGUCCACUUGAUCACAGCGGGGAUUUUGAAGUCCAAGGGUACUCUGCAUACACAGACCUGUGACUUUUGCCAAGUCAUUUCCCCAGCGCGGGAAGCAGCGCAAGGCGACUAUUAAAAGCAACUCAUAGCUCAUACUGAAUAGCGUUGGUAUCAUCAUGUACUUGUAACCCAGCUUACAGAGGAUGGCUUUCCACCCCCCUUUAGUGGCUGGACAACAUGAGGGUUUAUGAGCCUCCUGUAGAGCUGUUGGAUUAAGGGAAUUCUUGACGCAGUGGCUGAACUGAAGCAUUGUGAAAAAAAAAAUUUGGUUUGGGUUGACCUGAAAUGAAAAUGGUUCAAUUUUUCCAGCAAAGCUCAAAAAGUAAAAAAAGAAUUUGGUUUGAAUUGAACGAAACAUUUAAUUUCAUUUCUGAGUUUUUAUCUUUUUCAUCUUUUUCAAAUAGCAAUUUGAGAAAAGGAAGUGAAAUUCUCAGAUGAAAUGUUUCAUUUUGGAAAUGACAAAAAAAAUGAACCAUUUCAACAUUUCUGAUUUUUUUGAUAUUUUUUGAUAUUUGACCCAAUUUGAUAUUCACUAAUAUUGACUCAAAUUUGUGAAUUGUUUCCAUCAGCCCAAAUCUGCAUUUUUUGGGGCGGCAGCAGAAAUGAAUCACGUGAAAAAUAGAUUGUCGAGCUCUGUUUGCUUUGAGCUGGAUCUUUUAGCUCAGGCAGUUGUGGCUCAGAUGUUUGUGCUGACAAAGAGAAAAUAAUAUCUGCUUCUCCUCCCAGAAAUGUAACCUCUCCAAUAAAGGAAUGUCCAAGCUUGUUAAUUCUCCUAAA